GGUUCUGUGUUUCUAAUGGUAUGAUACCCGCCUGUCCCGUGGGAGACCCGGGUUCGAUUCCCGGCAGAACCG